rnacentral:rRNA from 1 species
UACCGGCGGCUCGAGUGGUGGCCGAUAUUAUUGAGUCUAAAGGGUCCGGAGCCGGCUUUGCAAGUCCCCCGGGAAAUCCAGCGGCUUAACCGUUGGGCUUCCGUGGGAUACUACAUUGCUUGGGACUGGGAGAGGUAGGAGGUACUCGGGGGGUAGGGGUGAAAUCCUGUAAUCCUCCGGGGACCACCGGUGGCGAAGGCGUCCUACCAGAACAGGUCCGACGGUGAGGGACGAAAGCUAGGGGCACGAACCGG